rnacentral:misc_RNA from 1 species
AAAAAAAAAAAGAAAAAAAAAGGGUUUCAAAUCACACUUUCCUUCUCCUAUACCGUGCUUUCCAAACACGACACACAAGUUAACCUACCUAAAUCAUAUAGCAACCAAAAAUUAUUAAAAAAAAUUACAGCAUUAGCUCGAUACAUUACCAUAAAGUGCACAAAUAAGAGCAAAAACACAGAGAGGGAGAGAAUCAAAACAGAUUAAGAAAUUAAUAAGGAAUUUUUUUUUUUCAGAAUAACGAACUUUCAAUCUGGAGAGACAAUGACGACGUUGCCGAUCAGGAAUGUAAGUGUUAAACGAUAAGGCAUGCGACGUGAUCGCCGGAGCUCCAAUCAAAAUCUAGCACUCCGUUUUUAUUUUGGUUUGUUUGCUUUUGGUCGUGAAGCGAUAGUGAGAGUGAUGGAGAGGAAGAGAUCACAAUCAGAGUUUAGGUAGAGGUUUUAGAAGGAUUAGGGCUUUGGCAUUCCAGAGACUUCGAAAUUAGACGAAAGCGAAAGCUGUGACUCACUGAUUUUCCAACCCCUUUUGCAGCUUUCCG